rnacentral:sRNA from 1 species
CGUGUGCUAUGUAAUAGGUUUUGUUUCAGGAAAUAUGCAUUAUAUCACUAAUUUAAGAGUUUAGGUCAAAAUACUGUAUUUUGGGGUGUGCCUCGUGUCAUCAGUUCAGAAUUUCUACAUGUGAAAAAAUGUAGUUAAUAAUACAAAAAAUAUAACCUUUGUGUUUGUAUGCUAUGGAAGGCAUGUGGUAAUUUUUUUUCCCCUUUGGUAAAGGAAAGACAAGUAUCUUCUCAUUAAAUAAGUUUGGUUUGACUUUGAUUAGGGUGCACAGCUAAGAAAACUGAUGAUUCUAACUUAAAAGGUUACCAAUUUAAAUAUGUUUGAUCAUAAUAUGAUUACAAACCUAAUGUCUAACAUUUUUUAGAGUAUGGUACCUUUGACCACAAAGCUUGUUUGUCCACUAAAAUAAGUUUUCUUACAGUGACUUGUUACUGGAGACAUGUAGGGUUCCACAGACUGAUGUCUUCUGUGAGCUUCCAGAUGCACAAAUUUGUUAUGAUAAGAUUCUCCAAGUCACUAGGCUAUACCCAGCACUUCUUUUAUGGCCUUCUUUUAUCUAAAUGGAAUCAUGCAUGAAGAGUAGCCUGGGCUUUUUCAACAUGAAUAUAAUAAAACAACGUAGAAUUCAAUCCAGUUUUAAUUUUCCCAGCACUGCAGGUUAGAUUCCUAUGAGGAGCAUAUUUACUUUUUGAGGAAUAUUUUGUUUUUUCCUUCCUCCAUCAUGGUGUGAUUGACAAGGGAUCAAAGCUAACAGGUUCCAUAACCAGAGAGAGUUCCACCUUCUCCAUCUGGUCAAUUAUUAAGAAUUUCAGACCCAACAACACCAGUUGAACUGUGCUGCUAGGCAGACAUUUUCACUUGUCUCUUUGGAAGAAGUACAAUUCUGUCAACAUUAGCAAAAAUGCACUCAACACUCCUGCAAAGGUUAUCAUAAUGCAAAACAGAUAUCAAAAUGACUUUUUCCUGUCCCUGGUAUAUCUGCAUCACAGAUGGCUUAACAUGAUUUAUGACUAGUCCUUAGAAAGGCCCUGUGGACUUUCUUCAUUACUAAAUUUGUAACUAUUUGUUCUUUCCUAAAGCCCUUAAAAGAGAAAAGUAAGCAUUUUAACCCUCCAUUCUGUGUUUAAGAAGUAUGGUUGCCUCUUAUGGAAUGUCAGACUAUGAUUACAGUUUUCUAAGGAAUUUUUUUCUGGUGGCUUAAACAUCACGUGACUAUUCUGAGCACAAAGUAAAUUAUUAUGGAAAAUUUGAGCUAAGCCUUCCAAUUGUGCAUAAGUUGUUGGAAAUAAUCUGCACAGGAACCCCUUUGUAGUGCUUUUUCUAAAGUAGAGGCAAAAAAAUACUAUUGUAUGUGUGCAAUAGCAUGGAAUUUUAAAAGAUAAACAUUUUAACAGGAAAAGUUAUAAAUGGGCUUUUCUUUAUUUUCUUUUGCUCUUAACCAACCUAAAUCAUCCACACAGGUAAAGUAGAACUUUAAGAUGUUCAAACUUUUCACAUAAGGUGUUUAUUAUGUUAUGUACUUGCUCUUCAAUAAUUUGAAAAGAUAAAUGAUAAUUGAAAUAAAUUUUAAAUAAGAGGUUAAUAUAUGAAAAUACAUUUUGGCAGAGUUUGAAGUCUAGAGUUGUAGAACCUAGGAACUUUUCAUAACCUCAGUAUUGAAGCAGAAGUUUUUUUUCAGAGUUUUACAAAAUAUAAGUACUCAUUUCUAUUGUAAAGAAAUAUAUUUCUGGCUGGGUGCAGUGGCUCACGCCUGUAAUCCCAGCACUUUGGGAGGCUGAGGCGGGCGGAUCACGAGGCCAGGAGUUUGAGACCAGCCUGGCCAAUGUGGUGAAACCCCAUCUCCACCAAAAUUACAAAAAUUAGCUGGGUGUGGUGGCAUGCACCUGUAGUCCCAGCUACUCGGGAGGCUGAGGCAGAAGAAUCCCUUGAACCUGGGAGGCGGAGAUUGUAGUGAGCUGAGACCGCACCACUUACUCCAGCCUGGGCAACAGAGUGAAACUCCGACUCCAAAAACAAAACAAACAAACAAACAAACAAAACCAAAUAUAUUUCUUUGCAAGUAAAUCCUCUUCCUGCUAGAGGCUUCUGUAUGGAGAACAGAACUUCAGUAUCUUAGAUUACUUCCAAAUAUUUCUAUUUAUUAAUAUGUUCCAUGUCUCCUAUUUUCUUAAGCAUAAUUUUUUUUUUUUUAAAUCACUUAAGACUAAAACCCAGGGGGAUUAGCAAGCAUUUAGAGACAUUUAGCAUGCUUCAUAGUUUAUACCAGCAAAGUUAGACAAAAUGGAUGAAGCAAAGAGGAAGAAUAGAAGGAAGGAGAGAAAGUUAAAUUUUGAAAAAAGAAAGCAAAAAUAGGGGCCAGUUGAAGCACUGGUUAAAACCUGGGGUCUAUAAUUCUUCUGUAGUGGCCUAGAGUAAUGCAUUCUUAAUUUCUUAAUUUUGAUGAGAUUAUAAAACCUCAGAAAAAUGAGGCCCUUUCAAGAAGCUUGGAUUAUCUUCUGCAGAGGAUUUUAACAUCCAAGAAGCAAGAAAUUGACUUGUGCAUUACAGAUGUUCACAGUGGCAUGCCAUCAGCGUUGAAAUUAUAUCACAUUCUGUGAUUAGAUAAGUGGUAGUGGGCUUACUGAAGCUCAGAACCCCAAGAUUUGAAUUCUUUUGCUUAGCUGUGUGUUUGUGUCAAGGACAACAGCAAAUUCAGCCAUGAAAGUUCUUCCUCUAGCACUAUUUUAGUCAAUGGCAAGCCCAUAUACAUAAUCUUGUAAUACCCCUGUAUUAGUCCGUUCUCAUACUGCUAUAAGGAAGUGCCUGAGACUGGGUAAUUUCUAAAGGAAAGAGGCUUAAUUGACUCAGGUUAGCAUGGCUGGGGAGGCCUCAGGAAACUUGCAGUCAUGGCAGAAGGUGAAGGGGAAGCAAGGCAGCUUCUUCACAAGGCAGCAGGAAGAAGUGCCGAGUGAAGUGGGGAAGAGCCCCUUGUAAAACCAUCAGAUCUUGUGAGAACUCACUCACUAUCACAACAGCAUGGAGGAAACUGCCCCCAUGAUUCAAUUAAGUUCACCUGGUCUCUCCUUUGACCUGGGGACCGUGGGGAUUAUAGGGAUUACAAUUCAAGAUGAGAUUUGGGUGGGGACACAAAGUCUAAUCAUAUCAACCCCUAAAAAGAGGUUUGGUGUUUUUCAGGAUUGAUGAAAAGUUAUUAUAUUAAAGCUCAGAGCCUUCAUGCCCUAUGAGAAGUUUAUAGUACACACACAGAGAAGGUAACACAUCCAGAGAAGUUGACUAAAACUUUAGUAAAUCCACAGGAAUUCUUAUAAUUUUGUUUUUUAAAACCAAGUGAAAAUAUUUAUCCCACUGAUGUUUUAUCUCAUGUCUUUCUUAGUAUGAUUCUCCUCUUUAUUUUUAACUGAAGAGUGAAAACAAUUUUUCCUGGAAUUGGAACUCUACAACCUUGACAUACAUACCUAUUGAAGGGUUUUCACAUUGAACCAGGCAACACUUUACUCUUUCGCUUUGUCCCAAGUAGAAAGUAACAAUGAAUUUUGGAAUUGACAAGGGGAAAUGGAAAAGCAAGCAUGCAUGGGACAUAAUUUAAGCUUACAUCUAGUAAAAAGGGCCUAUCCUUUGAGCUCCCAAAUGGUAUGAGAGUCCAAUCUAAUCAAGUUGAAUCAAGCUGGCCACAUAAUCUAUCUGAAGUCUUGAUUUCUAAACUACAGAAAAUGGCAACUACUUCAUUAAAAUACUGUAAGAAAUAUUGAGUGAGUACAUUUAAACACUGAGUUCCUUAAAAGGAAAAAGUAAAUCCAUUCUUGCUCUAGGUCUUUGGUUCUCAUCUAGGGGCAAAUUUGUACUCCCAGGGGACAUUUGGUACUAUCUGGAGCUAUCUUUGGUUGUCACAAUUUUGAAGGGAGGGUGUUAUUGGCAUCUAUUGGAUAAAGGAUAACCAUUGUAGGGCUAACCACCCUACAACGCAUAAGAUAAUCUCCCACAAUAAAGAAUAUUUGGCCCAAAAUGUCAGUAGCACCAAGGUUGAGAGAUCCUAUUCUAGGUUUAAGCUUUAUCAUUAUUAUUAUUAUUUUGGAUUAUGAAGUUAACUGAUUUUUUUGAUUUUUUUUUUUUUUUUGCUUUUAAUUUUUUUGUUUUUCUUUAACAAAUUUAAGUCUCUUGAAGAUUCUUUAGAGUAGAAAUGCAAUUUUCUGGAACUUGUGUAAUGAAAAUGGAUGUGGACACAUUGCCACAUCAUGGUGUUUGCCCAAGCAAAUGCAUUAGAAUCAUAAGUGAUCCAUUAUUUCUUCUCUGCCUAGUUGAGUGUAGAUUUAGUUCUGUACAUGCCCCAAAUGUCUGGGUGGCAGUUUAAAUGAGCUGCUUGCCUUCCUUCCCAAACCAAAUUCAGAACCUUUUAACUGACAACCACAUCUUAAAAUGUGCUUCUAGUAGUAGCUGAUGGCUUCAAAACAGCCUGCAGGUAACGUUUCUGAAUGAUCUUCACAGCAAGCCAAGUCAUUCUGUUUCAGUUCUUUGAGAAUGCCACAGCACCUCUAAGAGAGCCCAUUCACUAUUUGUCAGUGGAUCGUGUGCUUCCCAGGAGGUUAUGCAUUCCAUGAUAAAUUCUUUCCAACUUUCAGUGCUGGGUAAAGAACAUGUCCUCCCCUUGUAGCUCAGAUGUUUUUGUGGACUUCUGUCUGCUUUAUUGUGGUGUUAGUGGCACCUGGUCUCUUCCCUCAGCACAGUCACUGCUUCUAGAUACUUAUCAAAGAGUGACAAGCCAUGGUAAUAUUGUACAUGGGUGUACAGACACAAUGAAAUGCUGAAACAGCACAGCCAAGAGCACAAGGGACUGUUUCUUCAAUUAUUGCUCUGAUACAAAUGCACUUGUAUAUGAAGUACAUUUAUAUGUGCAUAUUUAUCUCUGUGUACAUUAGGCAGCCAGACAUAUUUACAGUUUAUGCACAUGUAUUUUUUAAAUCACCUGUGUCAAUUGCAAUGUGUAUCUUUUAAAUGACACAUUCCAUGCCUUCGUGGUUCCAUGGAUGCCACGUCAUUGGACAUCAUGUAGCCCUUUGGGGAUUUCUCCCAUUUCUAAGUUUGUGUACUGAUUUCCAGAAAAACAUUGGUCAAACUUAUAGUCCUUAUGUUUAGUCUAGAUUUACCACAGUGGAACCGGUGGAAUCUGGGUGGUGCCAGGAUGGACCUUAAGAUUGACUCUCUGGAUGAUGAUACAUCAUCUAGAGAUGAUGGGAGAGAAGUAAAAUACCUGAGCUUGAAACUGAACACUCUGGGGAGUUGGGUGGGGGAGUCUGAUGACAUAUAACAAAUUAUAAUUUGGGUUCUUGGAGCUGAUUCUUCUUGGUUCUGAUGACAUCUAAAUGUAAGCAUGUAUUGUAAAUACAUUACAAAAUGGCUUUUAUUAUUUAGGUUAUAUCUGUGAUUAUAAAAAAUAUUUGAGAGGGAUAGAACUAGUAUAUAGAGAUAUUAUAUAUCUACACGUGAGAAUGUGAUCUGUGCCACACAUUGUUUCAUUCAUAUGUUCAGGAAGACAGUUUCAAAGAUAGGUCCCAUAUUAAUGGAAGGAAGUUACAGACCAAAGGCUUUGUCCCACUGACUGGGUAUAAGCCACACCUGGCCAGAUCUUACACUUGUUUUGCUAAGGCCCUACCUUUCUAAUUCCUUUCAGAUAAGCUAAACAGAGAAAUGUGGGCCAGAUGAGACAGGACAAGUCACAGAGCUAUGGAGAUGGCAUAGUCCUUUGGUUGAUGCUUGAGUCCUCCUCUAACCCCCAAAGAAAGCAUUUAUUUUUCCUGGGAAAGAAGGAAUGAGAAGGGAGUUAGGUGGAGGAUUGUUUUAUUUAGUAAAAUAGCUAGUUUUUUUGCAUGCAAAUGAACAUCCCACAGGACAAAGAAAAUUUGAAUUUUUUUUUUUUUUUUUUUAAAUGUGGAGUUGUCCCCAGGUUUAUAAAUCAUCUGCUUUCUCUAAAUGGCUCUUGCCUUUAAAGUAUGAAAACACCAUGAAUAGCAUAGAUAGAUACCAUAAAUAAAUAGUGCAUUGUGUCAGAGUUUAGAGUUCAUCAUUUGUUAAGUGGUCCUUCUAUGGGGAAAAAAAAGUCCUCUCUUCUGCUUAGCUGCACCUCUUCAUGUGGGGCAGGAAAGCUCUCAGAGCUCAAAUCCCUACCUUAGGAGAAAAGAAAAGUGUCAGAGCUGAGGCAUGAAUCAUUGUUGGGCGAUUCCACACUGAUGAUGGCUGUCUCAGAAUAUGAGGGCAAGAGCACAAUUUGAGCAAUAUAGGGUUGGAAAUAAUAGAGUGCAACUGACCUGGGUCCCUAAGAUCUCUCCUUUUCCAGGCUAAUGUCAUGUUUUAACCAAACCUUGCACGUUGAGCUUUCUUUCCUAAUGCGCUGAGCUGCACGAUGACUUCAGAAUAAUAUUAAGCUUUUGCAAGCCCUUAUGCUUAGGUUGAAUGUGGGCUAGGUUCACCGCAGUGGAACCAGUGGAACCUGGGUGGUGCCAGGAUGGACCUUAGGCUAACUCGCUGGAUGAUGCCUCCAUCCCUGGGAGGUGAAAGCAGAUGGUUAAUGGCCCUUCUUGAGGCCCACUUAUUAUUAUUAUUACUAUUAUUAUUAUUAGCAGCAAUGUUUCAUAUUUUAUGCAUGCUUGAGAAUUCCUGGCCCAUUAUUUUGUUUUCUCCGUAGUCGCAGGUGGCAGAGAAGUGUAGAUCACUCCCACAGAUUCUUACAGUCCUCAAGGUUCCUUGGGCUGUUGCCACCCUGCAAGAAAUUUCACCUUCAUUUUGGAAAUUAAGAAUGUCAAUAGACCCAUAUCAUAGAGCCAGUCCUAGUAUGUGACAUUGCCUUCCUGCACUCCCUCCCAGGGGCUGCUCCUCAUAGGGGAGGGGAUGGUUUAGCAAUGACAUAUUUAGAAUCCAGUUGAAUAGUUUGUGUGCUCUAUCAUGGUGGCAGAAGUACCAUUGACCAGCCCAUAGUCUUCAUCUUGUCGUCCCCUGGCCAACCCUAGAAUUUUAGAGGCAUAGAAGAGAGAUCCUAGGUCUAGAGACUACAAUCCAAAUAGACUAAAUUGGGAAAAAUAAAUGUUCCCUUUCUCAGCUUGAAGUUGCUAAGGGGAAGCAGUUCUAUUGACAACUUGCAGUAAGGUAUGGCUUCACAUAACAUAAACAAUAUGCACCCUUUAUUGCUUGCUCUGUUCUUCAUGCUACUAACCAGACUCUGUUGGUGUUAUUUUUAUUUUAGUUUUUAUUUGGGGGGGUUGCUUUGCAUGUCAUUCUUCCUCUUGGCUGUUAGUUGCGGGGUUUGAGCCUUUUCCUUUCUGUGAUUCAGGUGCCUCACUCUUUCCUUUCCAGGUUCUUCCAGUUCUUUUAACAUGUCAAACUCUGGAGAUUUGUUCAUGAGCGUGCAGUCACUCAAUGGGGAUUCUUACCAAGGGGCCCAGGUUGGAGCCAACGUGCAAUCACAGGUGGAUACCCUUCGCCAUGUUAUCAGCCAGACAGGAGGAUACAGUGAUGGACUCGCAGCCAGUCAGAUGUACAGUCCGCAGGGCAUCAGUGCUAAUGGAGGUUGGCAGGAUGCUACCACCCCUUCAUCAGUGACCUCCCCUACAGAAGGCCCUGGCAGUGUUCACUCUGAUACCUCCAACUGAUCUCCCAGCAAUCGCAUCCCGGCUGACCCUGUGCCCCAGUUGGGGCAGGGGCAGGAGGGAGGGUUUCUCUCCCAACGCUGAAGCGGUCAGACUGGAGGUCGAAGCAAUCAGCAAACACAAUAAGAGUCUCCUUCUCUUCUCUUCUUUGGGAUGCUAUUUCAGCCAAUCUGGACACUUCUUUAUACUCUCUUCCCUUUUUUUUCUGGGUAGAAGCCACCCUUCCCUGCCUCCAGCUGUCAGCCUGGUUUUCGUCAUCUUCCCUGCCCCUGUGCCUCUGUCCUAGACUCCCGGGGUCCCUGCCCUCUCUCAUAUCACUGAAGGAUAUUUUCAACAAUUAGAGGAAUUUAAAGAGGAAAAAAACUACAAAGAAAAUAAUAAAAGUGUUUGUACGUUUUCAUGCUGGUGGUUUGAGGAGCCAAAUUUACCUCACUCGAAUCCCUCACUCCCUAUGUUAACAGGCAAUCCCUCUCUGUUUCUCUUAUUACUCUCACUACCUCUUAGCAGGAAUACGCCACAUUGCCCUACUCAUUCCAGGCCUCCCUGCUUCCUCUUGCUCUUCCUCCCUGGGGACAGUACUGAUUGGAACACUUUCCUCCUCUUCCUUCCUAGCCCCAGCUAUUCACUGGGGACUGUCAUAGCUGGGAUUCUAAAGGUGCCACAUGUUUCAGUUUCAUCUCCACUAGGUUGGUUCCCGGGCAGGAAGUCAGGCAGCAGGGAAGGACACGGGAACAGCAGGUGGAGCAUUCCUACAGCCUUUCUUAUCCUGCUAGCAACAGCUCUCAGUUUCAGAGGCACAGUCUUUGGAGACCAUUCAACACUCAGAAAGCAAUAUUUAGAACCUAUUGCAAAACUGGGGCUGAGUUAGGCAUGGUGAUGAAUGCAUCAGCAAGGAAUAGAAAGUUCUUAUCCUGAAACCCUUCAACCUCAACUAUGCCUUCAUAGACACACACGUUCAUGCACAUGUAGGCACAUGCACCAUCUCACAUCUUCGCUUUCCCAAGAUGCCAUAUACAAUUACCUACAUUAAUAACUGUAGCACUAUACCUUAUGAGCCCGAGAGAGGGAAUUAGUGACUCUAAGUGAAGGUCACUGACACAGAGAAGCAGUAUGUGUCUGGGGCUUCCAGGACCUGCAGGCCCACUAGCAUGCACUUAGCAGAAUGGCAUACACAGGACCUGAUCAUGAGGAAGACCAGGUUUCCAGUGUAAACUACUCUUGUUCCCACCACCUCUGGAGCACUCAGGGAGCCACAUACAGUACUUACAAUGUCUUUAAUGGACUUGGUUCUGUUUCAUUUUUUAUUUUAUAUUAGGCACACUGUAUUAAUUUUCCAAAAUGUUAUACCACACUAUGUUCUUGGUCCCAACCUAUUGCUCUGGAGGAAAGAGUUGUAUAAGAACGUGGCUCAUGUGAACUUUUGCUAGCUUCAUUUGAGGACCUGAGAAUCAUGGGGAAAGGGAAGGUAAUGUUUUCAUUGAAAUCAUCACAGUGAUUUUUAUUCCCUGGGAACACAGCGUGUACUAAAAAUACAUGAGAAAAUAGCAUGUACAUGAAAGCUAUUCUCAAAAGUCACCUGAGUUCACCAUCUUCAUAGCCAACCCUACCAGCUAUAAAGAUGGCAGCUCUAUCACUUGAUUAAGUGGGAGGUGGUCAAAAAUUUUGGUGCCUCAUUUUCUUCAUCUGUGAGACAGGAACUGUUAUGCCUGACUUACUAAGAGGCUUGUGAGAGACUGAAGAAGUUGAUUUUAUUCAUAUCCAAUCUGUAAAUGUGAAGUCAAGGGAAGUAGUGUCCCUGAAAUAAACGGGUUCAUGCCAUCUAGGGACAAUAAAUGAUUUUCUUGUUGUAAUUUCUGGUUAAUAUCAGUACCUUGAUGUCAUCACCACGAUGACAAAGAGAAGAGUUAUUGUUGAUCUUCUUGGUUUUGGUCUGUCUGGUUUCUUAGGAUAAAGAAAAACUUCCAAACUAGAAAAACAGGCCCUGGUUCUCUUAGUUGGCACUUGAACCCAAUAUGUUGCCUUGUACAUACUUGGUCCCUGUCACACUGACUGCCUGGGAGGCUUCCAGGGAGAAGUAUGAGACCCUGAGGGGUGAGAAUGGGCAGGUAGCAAGAACAUGGAAAUUCUGCUUGGCACUACAGUCAUGAAUAGAAAACACUGGGUGUGCUCAGGGGAGCAGGGGAUGCCACUGAAGAAACUCGAGGGAAUGUGUAUUUGAAGGAAAUGCAAAAACUGAAUAUUUAGCAAAAUGAAAUUAUGCCUUGAUGACUAAAAGGCACUAGAAAGGUUGUGUCUACUAACUUCUGCCCUAAUCAGAACAGAUGCCUAGAAGGAGCAUUUUUGUGACAACUUCAUAGUGAUUAGAAUCAGUGGAGAACUCCAUCUUAGUGGCAGGAAUAUAAUGAAACUACCCACACAAGAACAUGGUUGAAUCACAUUUGCUUGACUUAGGGCAAAUUACAAAAGAGAGACAAAAAGAUUCUCUUGGAAACAAGAAGAGUGACUCCAGAUGUGGCCUGAAUAAUUGCCAUGUUAAGUUAAUGCAAAAGAUCAGAACAGUGCUACAUUUGCACAGGCAGUUUCUCUCCGGGCAGUAGUUUUCACUGAUGAUCACCUUUCACAGCAUUUUCCCCAACCAGCAUUUCACUUAGUCUUCUCUAUACCCAGCACCUCCCCCGGCGCCCCCUGCAAGCCCACUAUCACUUCCGACUUCCAACGUGGCAUCCGUGAGAUCUGUCCACAUUAGGCGAAGGAGGAGAACACUGAGAGCAGCAGGAUGGGUUUGGAAAGAGCAUGCCUCUGGAAACACAGCUUCCUGGGAAUUCACAUGAGGCCAGUCCUACAGAUAGCAAGAUGCACCCCAGGAUUUCUUCAUUUCUAAUAGAUGUGGGAGUGCUCCAUUUUCCCCGACAGCGAAUUUCCCCUGAGAAACGAUACUAGACCCUGGGUUUGCUUACCUUGUAACUCUUCCUUAUCUCCUCCUUUUCAUCCCUAAUUCCUCCUCCCCCUGACGUGGAAUUGACGCCCGUGCAGUACAUUUGCUAAGUGGCACCUUCUUUGAAUUUAUGUUUUAUUUUGCUAUGGUGGUGAUUCUUUAUUUGCUGGUUGUCUUUUCUCACACAUCUUUCUCUCUCUGUCUGUCUCUUCCCUGCUUUUUGUUUUUCUGCCCAGAAAAACCUGACUUCGAUACCAAAAAAGAUGAAACUACAGAAACUCAAAUUUAAAAAAAACUUUAAAAAAAACAAAAAAAUACUCAACGAUUCUUUCAGCUUUAUUAACAUUUUCCAUUGUUUCUUGCGACUUGUGUCUCGUUCUUUGUAGUAUUGAUGAUGAACAUUUGAUAAUGAAUGUUCUUGUAUAUUCAGAUAAAGAAAAAAAAACCAAAAAAGCGGUCUGAAUUUAAUAGUGUUUAUAAUAAAAAUUUUAAAAAUGACCCUCAUAGCACGCAAAACAGGAUGGGGAAUUUCCCCUCUUCUUUCUGUGACAAUGCGCAUCAUUCCUGCAGUAGUUUUUAACACCAAACUACCUACAUUCAUCAUUUCCCUCAUUUUUCUUUUAUUUUCUUGCAUUUGUGAAUUAGUUCAAGAAUGCUAGAAAAGUGUCGAGUUGUGCACAUCCAUUUCUUGUUUCACAAUGUUUAAAAGUGACAGUAAUUCAUUUUGUAAACUAAAAAAAAAAAAA